rnacentral:sRNA from 1 species
AGUUCUUAUGUGAGUAUGCUAAUGAAUGAUAGAAACAGCGAUGACGUUGUGGUGAAUUUGUUCUUAUUUUCUUUUUGCUAAGUCGUUGGUAACUUGCGAGAAAAUUAAUUAUACUGACUAGAUGAGUACCCGCAUUACGUGCGGGUUUAUGUAUAACUAUUUACAAAUUGUUUUAUAUAAUGUCUGUUCAUAUAAAAUAAAGUUGAAUGCAUCGGUUUUGAAACAUAAAUAUGAUUUGUAACUGUUUUUGAAAAGUCUAACUAUAUUAGUUCAUCUGAAAAACGAAUGUGUUUGAGUUGUUUUUUAUUGUUUUUUUUUUCCAACCACACAUUAAUUAAAAAGUAAUAUCUCCAUGAUCGGUUACCCAAUUAGGAGGAAUAGAGUAUACAAAAGUAAUUUCAGAAAUUAAAAUUUUAUUGUUGUUUUAGAUUCUCAAUUUUUUUUUUAAUUUUAUAUAUCCUUGUUUUUUUGGUUAUAUGUUUAGAUUGUGAGAGGGUGAAAUUUUAGAAAAUUUUCUUCUUACGCUAAAAAUAUAACAUGUCUUUAUUAACCAUGUCUCUGCAUAUUCAAUCUAAACAUAUUUAACUUGAUGUUCUUGGAAAGUUUAGUUAAGUUCUUGUCAUAAUCUUAUAUCUUACGUAUUAGUUAUAAGGAUAACUCCUCAAAGAUCUUUUAAAUUACUUGUUUUCUUAGCAUAAAUCUCAAAAAGCUUAGAUAUAUUUAAUCUGCAUAUUCAUUUAGUUUCUUUCAUAAUAAUCGUCUAAUUUUUAGGAUUUCAUAAUAAUCGUCUAAUUUUUAGGCAAAGAAUAUGUGUAGCAUGUUUGGAUUUUAUGAUCAUUUUAGCCACUUAAGUGGAUCUCAAAAUGAAAGAGGAUAUAUUAAAUUAAAAAAUAUAGAAAGAGAGAUGGUUCAAGUUCUGAUUAAUUAUAUCCUCCUAUUUAAAUUGUAUGUUGAAUUAAUUACUAUUUAUAUAU